GCAAUCACUCCCUUUCUACUACAGAGAGUUUCCCUUCAACUGGCCAAUGCCUCAGCAAAAAUCUGCAAUUUACAAGAAAAUCCAAUGAACUACACCACAAUGCCAGUAGAGAAGGAUCCAAUCCAACUCAAUUCACUGCCAACCCAACAACAAGAAACACUAUAAACAGUUUCCAAUCCCACUUCCAAAAGGCAUCAAUACAAGUACCUAACUAAUACAUUAACAUUGACCCUGGAGCAAGACAUAAAAUCCAUGAGAACUUUUCAACAGAUUCAAUAAGAUGAACAACAUUCAAUAAGCUGAAGAAAAGUUUUGCAUCUAUAGGAUUUUGUUAGCAGAUUUCAUCGCCAAAAUAUGUUUCAUCCAUACACUUGCAGAACUUCCCUAAGCCAAGUUGAUUCUGUAUUCAGUACAUUAACAAACAAUAUCUGUAAUUCUUCUGCCACCACCUAACAAGCCAGUUGGUGAGGAGUUUAAUCAUUUUGGCACGUUGUAGAUAUAAAAGAGAAGAAAUGGAAGCUCCAAUGAAUCUAUGUACUCAAGAGUACAAGUAUUUACAAACGCUUUUGGUCAGAAGAUUUCAAUCUCCACCAGCAAGGGAAGAAGAAACUGAUCUCCUUAUGUUCAAUGCUAAAUUCCCAUGCCACGUUUCCCAUUCGAGUUUAAACAAACGUUAGGAUUUCUCUGAAUAAAUUAUAGCCUCAAGAGCUAUGCAAAAAUAAUUCUUGAAGGAACAUUAACUGUAUGCACGAUCAAGAAAUGUCAUACUAACAUGAGUGAGCAGGAAUCCCUGGAGAAAAUGGACACAGAAUAUUUUUGUAGAAAGCAGAAGUUGGACAAUCAACCUGCUCCUUCAAGUCCACAGUGUCAACCUCAUGGCAGUGCACAUCCCUAUCUGUUCAAAAAUUCCUUCUCUAUAACACUAAAAAUCACCUUCAGCCGAUCUUCCAAAUUUGAGAGAAUGUUCUUUGUGAUCCUUUUCUGAUGCCUAGUGCUUUUCUGCCAUGCAAUUCCACUGAAUACGCGUACAUGACAGCCGUUUGGUCUUGAGGGCAAAUCCUCAAUUUGGUAUCUCAAGUGAAGAUUAAAAUUGUCACCAAGUGGAACUCCAUGGAGGGUUAUAACCUCUUCAACCAGCCAGCCUUUACGAUCAGAUAGGGGGUGUUUCUGCUGUGUACUAGUCACCUCUCCUCCAUAACGAGAGAUGCGCUGAUCAAAUCUGUAAUACAUUUGCCUCUCGUACACAUCAUCCUUCUCCAAUUCCCAUUGGGUGUGAGAAUAGUUAAGACAACCAGCUUUCUCCAUCGCUUUUCGCUCCAACUCACCGCCAUUGAACAGCUCCAUGAAGAAAUUGGUAGAGACAGAAACACCAGAAGAAUAAACCUCAGAUAAGUUGACAUCCUCAAGACCCAAGAAGGGCCCACUGUCUUCAGUUUGGAGGCUUUUAGCUUCUGAUUCUUCUUCAACUAUU
rnacentral:misc_RNA from 1 species